UACGAAGGGGGCUAGCGUUGCUCGGAAUUACUGGGCGUAAAGGGUGCGUAGGCGGGCAGGUAAGUCCGUGGUGAAAUCUCCGAGCUUAACUCGGAAACUGCCGUUGAUACUAUUUGUCUUGAAUAUUGUGGAGGUAAGCGGAAUAUGUCAUGUAGCGGUGAAAUGCUUAGAUAUGACAUAGAACACCAAUUGCGAAGGCAGCUUACUAAACAACGAUUGACGCUGAGGCACGAAAGCGUGGGGAUCAAACAGG
rnacentral:rRNA from 1 species